UGUAUGGCUUAUCAGGGAACUGAAAAAUUGGGCUAAAUGGACACAUUUCUAGAGUGUGAACUGCACAGCAGGUGAUCUCUGAAGCAGACAGCCAGCAGAGUGGCCUUUUUACUCCAGAUCUCUCCCCUGUAUGGCUAGGAAAAAAAAAGAGAGAAACCUAAACACUGAAUAGAGCAAAUGGAUUUCUGAACCACGUGUCUCUUGCAGCAGAUGUGGAAAUUGAGGCCAGUGAGAUGAAAUAACUUAUCCAAGGCCACCCAGCAAAUGAAGAGUGGAAUGAGGAUGUGCACUUAGAAUCCCUGCUCUAAGUGUCAACACCCUUCCUCACCAUGUUGUGGUUUGCCGAUUGGAUAAGGAAGACUUCCAAGGCCCCUUCUGUGGCCUCUCCUGUCCACAGUCUGCACCUGUCCUCUCAUUUGUGGUGAAACAGAGAAGUGUGUCUAACACAAAGUGAACAGGAAAUAAAGUGUUUUUAUGCACAGAGAAUGCAACUGCUGUCCAAAGUCAGUUAAUUAAAAAACAUCAAUCUAUGCAAACAUGAAGAAAUGGUCCAGCGGGAAAUUGGACCAAUUUGGAAUUUGGUAAAGUCUACUUAUUUUCAACGUGUCUCUAAAUUUGGGGAAAACAUCUUGGUUGAAUGUUUACAUAAUCAUGUGAUGGGAUAUUUCUUUAAAAAUAUUGUCAUUAUCCCCAAGCUAAGUAUUUAUUCUUUUGUUUAGAAUUUACAUAAGGUAGUAACCUAUGCUUUGGAAAUCACACUAGAGGGGCUCCAGUUCUUUUCUGCAUCUAAACUCAAUAUGGAUGAAUCUUGGAUUACUAUGGUAUUUUACUUUUCGGAUUAACAUGGUGAAAAAAAAUUUAAUAGCAAAGAGCAAAGGUAAGCUCUAAGAGAA